rnacentral:rRNA from 1 species
CUGCUAUCGGGAUAGGACUAAGACAUGCUAGUUGAGCGCUUCCAGCCAACACGGGAGCGCAGCGCACAGCUCAGUAACACGUGGCUAAUCUGCCCUUGGGACCGGAACACCCCCGGGAAACUGGGGCUAAUUCUCGAUAGGUGAAGAACUCUGGAAUGAGUCUCCGCUUAAAAGACGCUUACGUUAUGCUCGUAGGCGCCGCCCAAGGAUGAGGCCGCGACCGAUCAGGUUGUUGGUGAGGUAAUGGCUCACCAAGCCUUUUACCGGUGCGGGCCGUGAGAGCGGGAGCCCGGAGAUGGGCACUGAGACAAGGGCCCAGGCCCUACGGGGCGCAGCAGUCGCGAAAACUUUGCAAUACACGAAAGUGUGACAGGGCUAUCCCGAGUGCCAUCCGCUGAGGAAGGCUUUUACCCAGUCUAGAACGCUGGGGGAAUAAGGAGAGGGCAAGUCUGGUGUCAGCCGCCGCGGUAAUACCAGCUCUCCGAGUGGUGUGGAUGUUUAUUGGGCCUAAAGCAUCCGUAGCUGGCUGAGUUAGUCCCUUGUUAAAUCCACCGAAUUAAUCGUUGGAUUGCGGGGGAUACUGCUCGGCUAGGGGACGAGAGAGGCAGACGGUAUUUCCGGGGUAGGGGUGAAAUCCUAUAAUCCCGGGAAGACCACCAGUGGCGAAGGCUGUCUGCUAGAACGCGCCCGACGGUGAGGGACGAAAGCUGGGGCAGCGAACCGGAUUAGAUACCCGGGUAGUCCCAGCUGUAAACGAUGCUAGCUAGGUGUUGGGUCGGCCACGCGCCGCCCCAGUGCCGCAGGGAAGCCGUUAAGCUAGCCGCCUGGGGAGUACGGCCGCAAGGCUGAAACUUAAAGGAAUUGGCGGGGGAGCACCACCAGGCGUGAAGCUGCG